AAAUGACUCUCGGCAACGGAUAUCUCGGCUCUCGCAUCGAUGAAGAACGUAGCGAAAUGCGAUACUUGGUGUGAAUUGCAGAAUCCCGUGAACCAUCGAGUCUUUGAACGCAAGUUGCGCCCGAAGCCACCAGGCUGAGGGCACGUCUGCCUGGGCGUCA
rnacentral:rRNA from 1 species